UCCGUAGGCGGGCUAAUAAGUCAGAGGUGAAAUCCCACAGCUUAACUGUGGCACUGCCUUUGAUACUGUUAGUCUUGAGUCAUAAUGAGGCAGAUGGAAUGUGUAGUGUAGCGGUGAAAUGCAUAGAUAUUACACAGAACACCGAUUGCGAAGGCAGUCUACUAAUUAUGUACUGACGCUGAGGGACGAAAGCGUGGGUAGCGAACAGGAUUAGAUACCCUGGUAGUCC
rnacentral:rRNA from 1 species